GAUGCGAUUAUAUCAAGUCAAAGGUCGUUUGAAGUUAGUGGCGAACGAGGUAGUAAUACAUAGGAACUUCCCCCAAAGUCGUGAAUAAUCUAUCGAAAGGUAGACUAAUACACGAUGGUCUCGCAAGAGUAAAGAUUUAUCGCUUUGGGAAAGGCCUGUGCAAUAUCAGCUAGUUGGUGAGGUAAUGGCUCACCAAGGCUAUGACGUUUAGGGGAGCUGAGAGGCUGACCCCCACCGAUGGUACUGAGACACGGACCAUACACCUACGGGUGGCUGCAGUCGAGAAUCUUCCACAAUGGACGAAAGUCUGAUGGAGCGACGCCGCGUGAUUGAUGAAGUCCCUCUGGGACGUAAAGAUCUUUUUUUAGGGACGAAUUUUAUGACGGUACCUAAAGAAUAAGAGGUUACUAACUCUGUGUCCGUGUCUGUG
rnacentral:rRNA from 1 species